rnacentral:ncRNA from 1 species
UGUACGAAAGGGCAAAAUCGUUGAAAAGCGAUGACGCAAAACUACAGGGGCUAAAGUCGGAUGACAAUGCUUGCCAGAUAUCGAA